rnacentral:rRNA from 1 species
GAGUUUGAUCUUGGCUCAGAUUGAACGCUGGCGGCAUGCCUUACACAUGCAAGUCGAACGGCAGCACGGGAGCUUGCUCCUGGUGGCGAGUGGCGAACGGGUGAGUAAUGCAUCGGAACGUAUCCUGGAGUGGGGGAUAACGUAGCGAAAGUUACGCUAAUACCGCAUAUUCUGUGAGCAGGAAAGCGGGGGACCUUCGGGCCUCGCGCUCUUGGAGCGGCCGAUGUCGGAUUAGCUAGUUGGUGAGGUAAAGGCUCACCAAGGCGACGAUCCGUAGCAGGUCUGAGAGGAUGAUCUGCCACACUGGAACUGAGACACGGUCCAGACUCCUACGGGAGGCAGCAGUGGGGAAUUUUGGACAAUGGGGGCAACCCUGAUCCAGCCAUGCCGCGUGAGUGGAGAAGGCCUCGGUUGUAA